CACGUAGGGUGCGAGCGUUAAUCGGAAUUACUGGGCGUAAAGCGUGCGCAGGCGGUUCGUUGUGUCGGUGGUGAAAUCCCCGGGCUUAACCUGGGAAUGGCCAUGGAAACUGGCGAACUGGAGUGCGGCAGAGGGGGGUGGAAUUCCGCGUGUAGCAGUGAAAUGCGUAGAGAUGCGGAGGAACACCGAUGGCGAAGGCAGCCCCCUGGGCUAGCACUGACGCUCAGGCACGAAAGCGUGGGGAGCAAACAGG
rnacentral:rRNA from 1 species